CUGAAAUAGUACCUCAAAGGCUGCCAGAGGAAAAUUCAAAGUUAGGAAGGAAAGGUGCAAGCAUUUUAAAGCAACGCAAAAGAAAAACACAUUUAAUUAACAGAUAAAAAGCAAAAUCAUUCUAUUAAAAUGGAAGUCCUGGCAUAGGCUCUCUUCAUGAAAACAGAGGUAUGGCAUAAAGAAAGGACUAAAGAAAAAAUGUCCUCUCAUAGCCUGAGAGCUUGUAAGGUAACAAGGAGCAUGCAACAUUCCUAUGGUACUGCAAAUUCAUGUUUGGAACGCUGCAUUGUUGCUGCAGUAACAUGGCACCAUAUUUAAAUGCAAUAUUCAACAUUCGUCUCAUACUCCAGGAUAUCCCAACACUAUACCAAGGGCCUUCAGCUAGCAGUGUCUUUUCAUCAGUUCCUUCUGCCCUUCAGUUAGUGUUUAAAAGGACUUAGUUCCUGACACCAAUUGAGCAACCCCCCUUUCCAAUAUCAGGACACGAAGAGGGAGGUGGACUGUUCCACCUAGUCUUUUCUGCAGCUCCCUGCCCCAUCCACAAGAGCAGCCAAGUCGCAUCUUCAAUACCACAACAAGUCGGGGCGAUGGGGUGUUGCUGUUUAUUUCUUCACUCAAUGGGCAUUUCCCUAGCUUAUGAGGGAACACACAUCUUUACAUUUUGGAGCUACCUCUGCUUCACUCGCAUGACUGUUUGCCAGCGGCAGCCCCCUGCCCAUUUCAAAUCCAUUCCAUCCCUGGCAGCAAUCGUUUCAAAGCGGGUUUGGGCAUCGUGGCUCCAUUCCAGCACAGUGCUUGCACAUAGGCUUCAUUUAAAAAUGCACUUGAAGCCCCGCUGCUAAACACAUGGCAAGCACAUGCCAAUAAACUUAACAGACUCUAGAGGUACACAGCCAUCUGGAGCCUCCCAUCCUCUUCCCACAAACAAAGUAGUUGUAGACUGCACAAGGCCCAAGCACUUUUGUUCCCCGUCUGUCAGCUCCAGUGUGUACUGAAUAUCUAAAGGGGGCAGGAAAUCGCCAAACCCCAGUUCACUUCUACUGCCAUGCAGGCCUCCCUUCCUUUUAAUGGUGGGGGAGGAGAUGAGGAGGGUGGGUGAAUGUAAACGUUUCCCUCCAUCUCUAAACAGUAUUCUUUUAAAUGAAUUCACAGAGCCUGUAUGGGACAGGACUAGAGUAAAGAUUGUUUUUCCAUAAUAUCCUACAUGAAUUUCCAGUACCAAACCUAUAUCAUUCCUCCGUAUGUGGAGUUAGUGGUGCAUUUAUUUGAAAAUACAUUUUCAAAUACGACAACUGAUUUGCCCAAACUAUUUAAAAUAUAGUGCCAAGAUUUGUAUAUGAAUAAAUCAAAAAUAAUUCUUUCUGGUUUCAAAGAAUAAGUUAAAUCACCAACAGAUUUAAUCGAAGGGAAUUUCUUUGUACUGAAAUUCCCUUUUCAGUCCUCAGGUUAAGCUCCAAGUACUUUUUCUAGAACUGCAACAGGCACAUGGCACGGGUUUGUUCAUUACAGCUUCUGAUAAUUGCUUCCACUGGGAGACAAGCAUAUCAUAAAACAGAAGUCAUGAAAAUUCAUCAAGAGAACAGAUAUGGAAGAACACAAAGUCGAGGUUAGUAUGUCUAAUGCAUGUGAUUACAUUAUUAAUCCAACAGAAACAAAGGGAAAUGGAUCCCACAGAUGGACUAUGUUGCACUUCAGUUAAACACAUUUGGUUCUUUCAAGUUCACUCGAAUGAAAGCUAGUUCUGCAAGAUACUUUUUGGUUCUAUUUUUGGCUGUUUUGGAUGAUAAAAGUUAUCACAUACAAAAAUAGAAGAGUAAAAUAAAGUGCCCCUCGUGUUUGUAUGCUGCAUUAAAAUAUUCAGUACUGUAAACAUUGUAAAUAGUAUUUUAAAAUGCUUAAAACUGAUUUCCAAGCACUGUUAUUGUAGCUAAAGUGCAGAUUCUUAAUACAAAAAUACUAUAGCACUGCUGUACUGUUCAACGCCAAAGUAACUUAAAAAGGCACACACUGAACAUGAGAGGAAAACAGGAAAAAAGGGUAGCAGAUGCUAUUACGAAAUACUGACUAGAUUGUAGCACCAGAAGGUGAGCAUUCUCAGGUAUUAUACAUGGAAGAGUACAAUAGCAUGUAUGGCUUCUACCACCACCAAUGCACGUUUUGUAGAACAAGCUGCUUUAGUCAGCUGGUACCCAUUCAUACGAAGUACAUUUUGGAAGACCCACUGUACCAUGCAAAGUAAUGAGUAUGUUCCUUCAACAGCUCAAACCAAUCAAAUAUCUUUACAC